AGCAACGCCGCGUGAACGAUGAAGGCCUUCGGGUCGUAAAGUUCUGUUGUUAGGGAAGAACAAGUACCAGAGUAACUGCUGGUACCUUGACGGUACCUAACCAGAAAGCCACGGCUAACUACGUGCCAGCAGCCGCGGUAAUACGUAGGUGGCAAGCGUUGUCCGGAAUUAUUGGGCGUAAAGCGCUCGCAGGCGGUUUCUUAAGUCUGAUGUGAAAGCCCACGGCUCAACCGUGGAGGGUCAUUGGAAACUGGGGAACUUGAGUGCAGAAGAGGAGAGUGGAAUUCCACGUGUAGCGGUGAAAUGCGUAGAGAUGUGGAGGAACACCAGUGGCGAAGGCGACUCUCUGGUCUGUAACUGACGCUGAGGAGCGAAAGCGUGGGGAGCGAACAGGAUUAGAUACCCUGGUAGUCCACGCCGUAAACGAUGAGUGCUAAGUGUUAGAGGGUUUCCGCCCUUUAGUGCUGCAGCAAACGCAUUAAGCA
rnacentral:rRNA from 1 species